UACGAAGGGGGCUAGCGUUGCUCGGAAUCACUGGGCGUAAAGGGUGCGUAGGCGGGUCUUUAAGUCAGGGGGGAAAUCCUGGAGCUCAACUCCAGAACUGCCUUUGAUACUGAGGAUCUUGAGUACGGGAGAGGUGAGUGGAACUGCGAGUGUAGAGGUGAAAUUCGUAGAUAUUCGCAAGAACACCAGCGGCGAAGGCGGCUCACUGGCCCGUUACUGACGCUGAGGCACGAAAGCGUGGGGAGCAAACAGG
rnacentral:rRNA from 1 species